CCCAUCCCCAGCACCCCAGCGCGGCGGCGCUCUACCCAAAUCACAAUCGCCGCCCCCACGGCCCUGCCUCUCCCUGUCCGUCCACCCCAGCGCGACCGGCCUCGGUGACCGGCGUUUGUCACCACUGACCAGCAACAUCUUGAGUCCAGCACUCCAGCUCCCUCCCCAGCGCGACCGGCCUCGGCGAGACGGCGACCAGCAUCGGCAAGACGGUGAUAGGCCUCGACGACCAACACAGGCGACCGGCAGACGGCAACAUACCCAUGAAGUAAAUCUCCAAUGGAAGGGGGCAAGAGCAACCAUGGGAAGGGCAGGGCGGGAAUGUUAGUGUCCCACGGAGGAGUUUGCGUGGUCGGCAUCCAGCACCGGAGUUGCCAUGCACCGGUGAGCAACAGGGCGUCGACGACAACACCAUUAGCACUGAAAAGGCUCCCGAAAACAGUGUUGCUCCUAUAGCGGAUGUCUCAGGCGUGGCUGGAGCAGCCGUGGUGGCAAGUUCAACUCCACAAGAGGGUACGAGUACAGUAGUGGAGCAGCCAAAACUGACCGAUUCUAGAAGGAAGCGUACAUCAGAUGUAUGGGAUGAUUUUAAGACAGCACUAAUCAAUGGGAAAUGGCAGGCAAUAUGCAACUGUAUCAUAAGUCAUAUGCCGAAGAAUCAAUCUCUGGAUAAAAAUGAGCCCAUCAUUACGGAAGACUAAUUUGGAGCCAAGUAUGCUCAUGUGGACAUGUGGCCGGGUCUCCAAUUACUAGUGCAUGUACUGUUGGAAGUGCAUUAGAAUUUUGAAAUAUGUUACAUCCUUUAUUUAUGCAACUUCGGUUGUGAUUAAUAAGAUCUUACAACUUUGGUUGUGAUGUAAUAAGAUUUUAAGACCAGAAUUCUACUAUGAUACUGCUUGAGUUGUCAACUUGUCAUUAUGUGGUCUACUACAUUUGUUUGAUGAAAUAAGAUUUAAGACAAGUUUUUUACUAUCA